rnacentral:siRNA from 1 species
GCUAACAUUGGUGGCCUAUCAGAA